rnacentral:tRNA from 1 species
AGCGGCAUCGUCUAGUGGUUCAGGAUCGCAGACCCUCAUUCUGCUGACACGGGUUCGAAUCCCGUUGCCGCUA